CACCGUUUCAGUGGCAUUUAAAUCCCCGGCGCUCCUCAGUCUAGGUGACGCGCGGUCGCCCCCCCAGGCUGCCCGGGCCGCGGCGGCUGCUCCGGCCGCUGCCAGAGCUGACUUGGAGCACUGGG
rfam:Cricetulus griseus cell line CHO-K1, whole genome shotgun sequence.